rnacentral:lncRNA from 1 species
UACUACUUAAGGCAUUCCUUCUUUAUUUAUGUCCACUGGUGUGGUAGCCAGGCUUCAAGUGGCCCUCAGUGAUUCUGUUCUGAUAUUGACAUCCUUGUGUUGUCUCUUCCCACAAGAAAUGUGGCUGACUUUUGUAACCAAAAGGAUAUUAAAGAAAGAAAUGAGGCAUUUAUAAUUUUUGAGGCCCAUCAAAGACAUUAUGGCUCUGCUCUCACCUUUUGGGUCACUUGCUUUGGGGAAAACCACUAACAUGUCAUGAGGACACUUAAGAAACCCUAUAGAGAGGUUUAUAUGAUGAGGAACUGAAGCCUCCCACCAAUAACCAGCACUAACUUGCUUGAGUGAACCUCCAUGGAAAUGGAUCCCUUAGCCUCAGUCAAACCUUCAGAUGACUGCAGCCACUGCUGACUUGUGGUUUCAGAAUAAGAGAUACUGGGACAGAAACACCCAGCCUUAUUUCCUUGAGUGGACCCUCAUAUGCAAUGUUGAAUUGAAAUGGUAUGAGUGUUUUUCUUGCAUUGUUCCCAAUUUUAGAGUUGCCUGCAAUUCAUAUACAUAAAAUUCACUGGUGCUGGCAAGAAAACCAACUGAACUGGCAUGUGAGAAGUGUG